rnacentral:misc_RNA from 1 species
GAUGAAGAACGUAGUGAAAUGCGAUAAGUAAUGUGAAUUGCAGAAUUCAGUGAAUCAUCGAAUCUUUGAACGCACAUUGCGCCCGCCAGUAUUCUGGCGGGCAUGCCUGUUCGAGCGUCAUUUCAACCCUCAAGACCCCUUCGGGGGACUUGGUGUUGGGGACCGGCACAGGGGCCUGCCUGCUUGUCUUGCAGCGCCCUCGCCGCCCCCGAAAUGAAUUGGCGGCCUCGUCGCGGCCUCCCCUGCGUAGUAGCACAAACCUCGCAACGGGAACGUGACGGCGGCCACUGCCGUAAAACAACCCAAUUUUAUUAGAGUUGACCUCGAAUCAGGUAGGAAUACCCGCUGAACUUAAGCAUAUCAAUAAGCGGAGGA